rnacentral:rRNA from 1 species
AACGAACGCUGGCGGCAUGCCUAACACAUGCAAGUCGAACGAGACCUUCGGGUCUAGUGGCGCACGGGUGCGUAACGCGUGGGAACCUGCCCUUAGGUUCGGAAUAACUCCCCGAAAGGGGUGCUAAUACCGGAUAAUGUCUUCGGACCAAAGAUUUAUCGCGUUUGGAUGGGCCCGCGUUGGAUUAGCUAGUUGGUAGGGUAAAAGCCUACCAAGGCGACGAUCCAUAGCUGGUCUGUGAGGAUGAUCAGCCACACUGGGACUGCGACACGGCCCAGACUCCUACGGGAGGCAGCAGUGGGGAAUAUUGGACGAUGGGCGAAAGCCUGAUCCAGCCAUGCCGCGUGAGUGAUGAAGGCCUUAGGGUUGUAAAGCUCUUUUACCCGGGAUGAUAAUGACAGUACCGGGAGAAUAAGCUCCGGCUAACUCCGUG